GCUGUGAUGUAUUUAAUUGCGUUGAUUGUCUGAAAUGAUACAUUAUUUUGUCCUCUAAGAAGUUCUGAGCUU
rnacentral:snoRNA from 12 species